CUGGCUCAGGAUGAACGCUAGCUACAGGCUUAACACAUGCAAGUCGAGGGGCAGCAUGGGAUUAGCUUGCUAAUCCUGAUGGCGACCGGCGCACGGGUGAGUAACGCGUAUCCAACCUUCCCCUUACUCAGGGAUAGCCCGGUGAAAACCGGAUUAACACCUGAUGGUUUCAUUAGAUGGCAUCUGACGAUGAAUAAAGGCUACGGUAAGAGAUGGGGAUGCGUCUGAUUAGCUUGUUGGCGGGGUAACGGCCCACCAAGGCUACGAUCAGUAGGGGUUCUGAGAGGAAGGUCCCCCACAUUGGAACUGAGACACGGUCCAAACUCCUACGGGAGGCAGCAGUGAGGAAUAUUGGUCAAUGGGCGAGAGCCUGAACCAGCCAAGUAGCGUGCCAGGAAGACGGCCCUAUGGGUUGUAAACUGCUUUUGUACGGGAAUAAAGUCAUCCACGUGUGGAUGUUUGCAUGUACCGUAAGAAUAAGGACCGGCUAAUUCCGUGCCAGCAGCAGC
rnacentral:rRNA from 1 species